UACGGGGGAUGCAAGCGUUAUCCGGAUUUAUUGGGUUUAAAGGGUGCGUAGGCUGUGAGGUAAGUCAGCGGAGAAAUGCCCCCGCUCAACGGGGUGAAGUGCCAUUGAUACUGCCUUGCUGGAAUGCGGAUGCCGUGGGAGGAAUGUGUGGUGUAGCGGUGAAAUGCAUAGAUAUCACACAGAACACCGAUUGCGAAGGCAUCUCACGAAUCCGCUAUUGACGCUGAUGCACGAAAGCGUGGGUAUCAAACAGG
rnacentral:rRNA from 1 species